UCAUCGGAUGACUAGCUACUGAAUCAUUGAUGUGUCAUCAGUGAUAACGUAAAGAAAAAUAAUGAUAUUACUUUACUAUUAGUGUCGUCCAAAUACUCGUGCCAGAAGACUCGGUAAGGCGAGAGACGCAAACGUUAUUCGUCUUGAUCAGGCGUAAAGGGUGUGUAGGCUGCUUUAAGUAUAUUUAUUAGGUUUAUCUUAAUCUAUUGUGUAAUUAUUUAAUUACUUGAAGUUAUGUUUGAAUCUUUAUUUAAACAUUUCUUAAAUAGAAUUUUGCUAAUAUUUAUCAAUUAAAGCUAGAAUCUAAAGGAGGUUAAAACAAUGCUUAAGGUAGGAGUACUAACCAUAAAUAUUAAGUAGAGUGCUAACGGCGAAGGCUUUUAUCCAAUAAAGAUUGACGCUGAGAAACGAAAGUGAGGGCAGAAAAAAGGAUUAGAGACCCUUGUAUUCCUCACUGUCAACGAUGAAUGGUAGUUACUAGUUAGAAAUUAGCUAGAGACGAUGUUAACACGAAAACCAUUCCGCCUUGUGAGUACAACUGCAAAGUUGAAAACAAAAAAAUUAGUCGGUUUCGGAGCAAACGAAGUGAAGCAUGUUAUUUAUUGUU
rnacentral:rRNA from 1 species